GACCGGUUAGCCCAGUCGGAAGCGCGCCUGUGUGAUAUCAUUGGCGUCUCUUUCAGCUUGUGCGGGAAGCCCCGGUUCGAACCUGGGACAGGUCA